rnacentral:rRNA from 1 species
GACGUAGGGCGCGAGCGUUGUCCGGAUUUAUUGGGCGUAAAGAGCUCGUAGGCGGCUUGUCGCGUCGUUCGUGAAAACUUGGGGCUCAACCCCGAGCUUGCGGUCGAUACGGGCAGGCUGGAGUCCGGUAGGGGAGACUGGAAUUCCUGGUGUAGCGGUGAAAUGCGCAGAUAUCAGGAGGAACACCGGUGGCGAAGGCGGGUCUCUGGGCCGAUACUGACGCUGAGGAGCGAAAGCUAGGGGAGCGAAUGGG